AACCUCUGUUGUAAGGGAAGAAUAYCUUGGAUAGGAAAUGAUCUAKGUUUGACGGUACCUUACCAGAAAGUCACGGCUAACUAUGUGCCAGCAGCCGCGGUAAUACAUAGGUGGCRAGCGUUAUCCGGAUUUAUUGGGCGUAAAGAGUGCACAGGUGGUUUWUCAAGUCAGUUGUUAAAGCCCGGGGCUCAACCCCGGUKCGCAAUUGAAACUGWUAGACUAGAAUGUCGGUGGGGGUAGUAGAAUUCCAUGUGUAGCGGUGGAAUGCAUAAAUAUAUGGAGGAAUACCAGUGGCGAAGGCGGCUAYCUGAACGAUUAUUGACACUUAAGCACGAAAGCGUGGGGAGCAAAUAGGAUUAGAUACCCUAGUAGUCCACGCCGUAAACGAUCUAKACUAGAYGUUGGARUAAUCCAGUGUCACAGCUAACGCAUUAAGUCUAGCGCCUGGGUAGUAUGCACGCAAGUGUGAAACUCAAAGGAAUUGACGGGGACCAGCACAAGYGGUGGAGCAUGUGGUUUAAUUCGACGAUACGCGAAGAACCUUACCUACACUUGAAAUGCUUGGCAAUGCUAUGGAGAUAUUGUGGAGGCUAACCAAUGCACAGGUGGUGC
rnacentral:rRNA from 1 species